GUCCGAUUAUUAUUAAAUCUGCUUCUGCCAAAUCGUUUGCCUAUAAAUUAAUAUCAAGAGUCAUACACGCGUGAAGACUGACAUUGUUAAAAAAUAAAACUUUUUUUCGAGAUCGAAAGCGAAAGCUCUUCUUUGAAAAUUUGGAGAAGCUAGAGAGGUUUCUAAGAUCGAAAGCGAAAGCUCUUCUUUGAAAAUUUGGAGAAGCUAGAGAGGUUUCUAAGAAGGAAAAUCGUACGAGAGGCGCAUCAGCGCACCGGUCAAUCAAGUCGGUAAUUAGGGUUUAACCCAAUCUUGACCAUUUUUCGCAACCGCAACUAGCUCAUCAUCAUGUUGUCGGCUCUCCGAUCUCGUUGUUUCUCUCUUCUUCAAGAUCAAUCAUGGAAACUAUGUUUAUCUUCUGCUCUGAAUCGCAUCUUAGCCUGCUCUCCAUUUUUUUCUUCAACCUCCGGAGCCAAAGACGUCUCAGAGAUUCUCACGCUUCCCGAAGUGGAGAAAAUACUCGCUGACGUGAAAGCUGAUAACGUUACGGUGGUUCCAACUCACAAUCACUGUUUCUGGGCCGAUUACAUGGUCGUCGCCACCGGACGAUCCGAUUGGCACUUAAAAACAUCGCUCAAACAUUAGUCUAUAAGACCAAGCAAAAGCAGAAAGACGCCAAACAUAUAAUGCUGCCUUAUGUGCAAGGGUACGAUAGCAUGUGGGUUGUCAUAGACUACGGUUCGUGUGUUCAUGUUUCUAUCUACACAAAUUGUUCAUUUUUAUAUUUCGUUGGAGUACUGUGUUGGAUGUAAUUCUCUGGAUACCCUUUAGUCCAUGAACUUGAUGAGAA